CUUCCUUUUUUUUUGUUUUGUUUCUUUUGUUCACUAUAAGAAAUAACAAUUUUAGUGGAGAAAAAAAAUAAUCACUAAAACUAUAAAAUUUAAUCACCAUAAUUUAUAGUGACUAGAUUUAAAGUCGUCACUUGUUGUUACAAAUGACUCCACACUAUUGUAUUUGUGUCCAUUGUUAUGUAGCCAUUACAAUAAUUCAAUUUUUU
rnacentral:lncRNA from 1 species